rnacentral:rRNA from 1 species
AGAGUUUGAUCAUGGCUCAGAUUGAACGCUGGCGGCAGGCCUAACACAUGCAAGUCGAACGGUAGCACAGAGAGCUUGCUCUCGGGUGACGAGUGGCGGACGGGUGAGUAAUGUCUGGGAAACUGCCUGAUGGAGGGGGAUAACUACUGGAAACGGUAGCUAAUACCGCAUAACGUCGCAAGACCAAAGAGGGGGACCUUCGGGCCUCUUGCCAUCAGAUGUGCCCAGAUGGGAUUAGCUAGUAGGUGGGGUAACGGCUCACCUAGGCGACGAUCCCUAGCUGGUCUGAGAGGAUGACCAGCCACACUGGAACUGAGACACGGUCCAGACUCCUACGGGAGGCAGCAGUGGGGAAUAUUGCACAAUGGGCGCAAGCCUGAUGCAGCCAUGCCGCGUGUAUGAAGAAGGCCUUCGGGUUGUAAAGUACUUUCAGCGGGGAGGAAGGCGAUAAGGUUAAUAACCUUGUCGAUUGACGUUACCCGCAGAAGAAGCACCGGCUAACUCCGUGCCAGCAGCCGCGGUAAUACGGAGGGUGCAAGCGUUAAUCGGAAUUACUGGGCGUAAAGCGCACGCAGGCGGUCUGUCAAGUCGGAUGUGAAAUCCCCGGGCUCAACCUGGGAACUGCAUUCGAAACUGGCAGGCUAGAGUCUUGUAGAGGGGGGUAGAAUUCCAGGUGUAGCGGUGAAAUGCGUAGAGAUCUGGAGGAAUACCGGUGGCGAAGGCGGCCCCCUGGACAAAGACUGACGCUCAGGUGCGAAAGCGUGGGGAGCAAACAGGAUUAGAUACCCUGGUAGUCCACGCCGUAAACGAUGUCGACUUGGAGGUUGUGCCCUUGAGGCGUGGCUUCCGGAGCUAACGCGUUAAGUCGACCGCCUGGGGAGUACGGCCGCAAGGUUAAAACUCAAAUGAAUUGACGGGGGCCCGCACAAGCGGUGGAGCAUGUGGUUUAAUUCGAUGCAACGCGAAGAACCUUACCUACUCUUGACAUCCAGAGAACUUUCCAGAGAUGGAUUGGUGCCUUCGGGAACUCUGAGACAGGUGCUGCAUGGCUGUCGUCAGCUCGUGUUGUGAAAUGUUGGGUUAAGUCCCGCAACGAGCGCAACCCUUAUCCUUUGUUGCCAGCGGUUAGGCCGGGAACUCAAAGGAGACUGCCAGUGAUAAACUGGAGGAAGGUGGGGAUGACGUCAAGUCAUCAUGGCCCUUACGAGUAGGGCUACACACGUGCUACAAUGGCGCAUACAAAGAGAAGCGACCUCGCGAGAGCAAGCGGACCUCAUAAAGUGCGUCGUAGUCCGGAUUGGAGUCUGCAACUCGACUCCAUGAAGUCGGAAUCGCUAGUAAUCGUAGAUCAGAAUGCUACGGUGAAUACGUUCCCGGGCCUUGUACACACCGCCCGUCACACCAUGGGAGUGGGUUGCAAAAGAAGUAGGUAGCUUAACCUUCGGGAGGGCGCUUACCACUUUGUGAUUCAUGACUGGGGUGAAGUCGUAACAAGGUAACCGUAGGGGAACCUGCGGUUGGAUCACCU